AUUGAACGCUGGCGGCAGGCCUAACACAUGCAAGUCGAGCGAGCGGCGGACGGGUGAGUAAUGUCUGGGGAACUGCCCGAUAGAGGGGGAUAACUACUGUAAACGGUGGAUACUACCGCAUACUAUCGGAUGAACCCAGAUGGGAUUAGCUAGUAGGUGGGGUAAAGGCUCACCUAGGCGACGCUCGCUAGCUGGUCUGCGAGGAUGACCAGCCACACUGGUACUGAGACACGGCCCAGACUCCUACGGGAGGCAGCAGUGGGGAAUAUUGCACAAUGGGCGCAAGCCUGAGGCAGCAAUGCCGCGGGUAUGAAGAAGGCCUUAGGGUUGUAAAGCACUUUCAGCGGGGAGGCGUUACCCGCAGAAGAAGCACCGGCUAACUCCGUGCCAGCAGCCGCGGUAAUAC
rnacentral:rRNA from 1 species